GACACGAUGGCGGAGUGGUUAACGCGCUGCCCUCGAAAAACCCGGAAAGGCAGUUCCCUAUGGGAGCGCAGGUUCAAAUCCUGCUCGUGUCG